rnacentral:rRNA from 1 species
GACGAACGCUGGCGGCGUGCUUAACACAUGCUAGUCGAACGGAAAGGCCCUGCUUGCAGGGUACUCGAGUGGCGAACGGGUGAGUAACACGUGGGUGAUCUGCCCUGCACUUCGGGAUAAGCUUGGGAAACUGGGUCUAAUACCGGAUAGGAGCCAUCUUUAGUGUGGUGGUUGGAAAGUUUUUUCGGUGUAGGAUGAGCUCGCGGCCUAUCAGCUUGUUGGUGGGGUAAUGGCCUACCAAGGCGGCGACGGGUAGCCGGCCUGAGAGGGUGUACGGCCACAUUGGGACUGAGAUACGGCCCAGACUCCUACGGGAGGCAGCAGUGGGGAAUAUUGCACAAUGGGCGCAAGCCUGAUGCAGCGACGCCGCGUGGGGGAUGAAGGCCUUCGGGUUGUAAACUCCUUUCGCUAGGGACGAAGCUUUGUUGUGACGGUACCUAGAUAAGAAGCACCGGCUAACUACGUG